AUGGGUCGUCGAACCCUAGACCCCUUUCCCCAAUCCCACGACCGCCUCCAUCCUCUCGUGCUCCACCCCGAGCGUGCCCGGGCUCCGCCUCCUCCUCCACCAUCCCUUCUCUUCUCAAUCUUCCUCCUGUCGCAGCCGCCUCCUGUUCUCCCUCUCUUCCUCCUCCUCGCCCCAGGCGACCCCUCUCGCGCUGCUCAUCUCCACCUCAUAUGUGGCAUCUUCACUGCCGCCAUAGAUCGAGGAGGACGGCGUGAUGACGACCAUGAUGCAUCGGACAUCCCGAUCGAUGACACCAUGGAAGCCAUGAGAGCUGGCCGAGGAAAAGGGGGCAGGGCCAUAGGCCAUGAAGGGCACGGCGGCUGUGGGCGGAAGCAGCAUGGGUUGAAGGAGCAGCGGAUGUGGGCGGGGUCGGAGGUUGGGGGAGACUCGUCGGCUGGGCGACAGCGAGUGCCGGUUCUACGAUCUAUUGCAUCUCCGUUCUCGUUAAGGUUAGCUGCUCUAUUUCCUAGGAGAGGGGAGGCGGCCAAUGACAGGGAGAAGGAUCAGGCCGUCGAGGAGUGCAAGCAGAAGAAUAAAUAG
rnacentral:rRNA from 1 species